rnacentral:rRNA from 1 species
UACGUAGGGGGCAAGCGUUGUCCGGAAUUAUUGGGCGUAAAGGGCGCGUAGGCGGCCCUCUUAGUCGCGUGUGAAAGCCCCGGGCUCAACCUGGGAACGGCGCGCGAAACGGGAGGGCUGGAGUUCGGGAGAGGAGAGUGGAAUUCCCAGUGUAGAGGUGAAAUUCGUAGAUAUUGGGAAGAGCACCGGUGGCGAAGGCGGCUCUCUGGACCGAGACUGACGCUGAGGCGCGAAAGCGUGGGGAGCAAACAGG